GCCUGCUGUUUGCAAGAGAGUGAAAUUUGUUUGCAACAAAGUGGAUUCUGUUGUUUGCACCAAAGUGGAAUCUGCUAUCUGCAACAGAAUGGCUUCUGUGGUUUGUAAUUAAGAGCCUUGCCUGGCUGGGGUGACAGAUUGCAUACUGAACUUGCAGUCAUGCCCUCCAACGGCGAGGCCUUUUUCCUCAGGAGAGAGUUUUCUCACAGGGGAUGCCCCAUCCUGUGUGCUGAUGGACUCAUGGCAAGGCCAGUCCCUCCCAGACCUGAGGAAUCCAAAUGCCAGCACUGGGCAGCCCACCCUCGGCCUGCUGCAGACCCCUGGCAUCUCAUCGAACACUCCCGGUCUCCCUGUGAGCUAGGUGUGACCCCCCACAUUCCACAGGGCUUCUGGUUCUUAACCACUGAACUAUCGUGGAGGAAAUGUCACCUCAUCCUGUGCCUUCUCCUCACUGAGCAAGAUAGCUGCAUGAGCUCCAACCUUCCACCCUCAGUCAGCUGCCAGGGAAAGAGACAAAACAGGGCUCACCUCUUCCUUUACGGACACUUCCUGAAAGUUUUGCAGGAUGCUUCUCCUUGCAUCCCUGUGACCAGCACUUAGCCACACGGCCACACUCAGCAAAAGAAUGAUCUUUAUUCUUGUGAUUAUGUGCUCAAUGAAAAAUCAGUUCUCUUAUCAAAGUUAAAAGGAAGAAUGGAAACUGGGAACCUUUAGCAUCAUUGCUGCAUUUUGCAGAUGAAGAAAAAAGGCUCAGAGAGGUGCAUGACGUACUGGAGGUCACACAGCCAGAAAGAGGUAGAGCCUGGGCCUUCCCUUCCUGGGCUCUUUGGAGCAGGUGGGGCCCCAAAGGCAUACUCUGUGGGUUUCCCAGGGAUGAGGAGGACUGUGCAUCUGUGCAUCACCCCCUCUGCAAGCCCCAGGAACACCCGGGGCCCAGGCCCUGCCUACCAGACCCCCUGUGCCUUGCAGCCCUGGCAGCCUCUCUGGGCCCAGAUCCUUCACGCUGGCACCAGCCGUGCCCCGGGCCUGACUUCAUCCAUCCCACUAAUGCCGGCAGCGACUGUGCUCGAGCACGUUCCUGAGGCAGCCUCAAGAGCGCUGAAUAAUUCAGGCCCGCAUAAUGGGAUAAUGAAUUUACUGACAACCCUGUGUGGUCUCGGUACUUACAUUUCAAGAAAUACUGACUCCCCAGGCCUGCCCAGCAGGCAGGGAGGGGCACAUGCCAAGAAGUGUUGUCUCUGACCGCCCUGUGGGGGGCUCAGACCGACCGAGGGCAGACCCCACAUAGGUCUCACUGGUUUUCCAUCCACUUGGGGCAGCUGGGAGUCUGGGGCAGGGGCAGCCUGGUUGGAACUUCAGGGUGAGAUGGACAUAGAAUCACAGACCCUGGGAGAGGCAGGGCUGAAGGGGACCUUGCCACAUCUUGGUCCUGCAUGCCCAUGCUGUGAGCAGGGAAACUGAGGCAGCAGAAGGGACAGGUCUAUGUUCCUGGACACUGUGUUCUGUGCUAGGAGUGCCUGGGAUAACUCUGGAGGCUCUGGAGAGGAGACCUGCUUAAUUUUCUUCUAACUGUCCCCUGCCGCUGGAGGGUGCUACUCAUGGGUCACAGCUGCACCUUCAUAGGAGACGUGUCCUCAACCACACGAGAGCUGCCUCCAGCCCGAAGCCUGCACACUGCGACCCACAAGCCAGGCAGACGUUGGCGGUGACCGACUGACAGGAAGGUACCAAAGACAGUGCUAAGUCUCAUGGAGGGACUGAGUCUGCGAUGCUGUUCACGCUCCAGAAUCCCCGCCCCGUGGACUGGGCUGUGGCCGGACUCCGGCUGAGACCACAUGUGCCUCCCCUCGCCCCUCACGCUCCUUCUCCUCGGAGCCUCCCCAGUAAACCAUGUGAACAGGAACCCGUCUCAGGCUCUGCUUCUUGGGGACCCACCUAAGACACCUGCCCUCCCUCCUGAAGA